AGCAGCCGCGGUAAUUCCAGCUCCAAUAGCGUAUAUUUAAGUUGUUGCAGUUAAAAAGCUCGUAGUUGAAUUUCGGGAUCAAAUUGUCGGUCGUGCCUCGGUACGCGCUGGUAUUAUUGGUUCCCUACCUUCUGAAGAACCGCGAUGUCAUUAAUUUGGUGUCGUGGGGAAUCAGGACUGUUACUUUGAAAAAAUUAGAGUGUUUAAAGCAGGCUUACGCUUUGAAAUACAUUAACAUGGAAUAAUGAAAUAGGACGUUUGAUUCUAUUUUGUUGGUUUCUAGGAUUGACGUAAUGAUUAAUAGGGAUAGUUGGGGGCAUUAGUAUUCAAUUGUCAGAGGUGAAAUUCUUGGAUUUAUUGAAGACUAACUACUGCGAAAGCAUUUGCCAAGGAUGUUUUCAUUAAUCAAGAACGAAAGUUAGGGGAUCGAAGACGAUCAGAUACCGUCGUAGUCUUAACCAUAAACUAUGCCGACUAGGGAUCGGAUGAUGUUAAUUUUUUAAUGACUCAUUCGGCGCCU
rnacentral:rRNA from 1 species